UACGGAGGAUGCGAGCGUUAUCCGGAUUUAUUGGGUUUAAAGGGUGCGUAGGCGGACGCUUAAGUCAGUGGUAAAAUUGCGGGGCUCAACCUCGUCGAGCCGUUGAAACUGGGUGCCUUGAGUGGGCGAGAAGUACGCGGAAUGCGUGGUGUAGCGGUGAAAUGCAUAGAUAUCACGCAGAACUCCGAUUGCGAAGGCAGCGUACCGGCGCCCAACUGACGCUGAAGCACGAAGGCGUGGGUAUCGAACAGG
rnacentral:rRNA from 1 species